UACGUAGGGUGCAAGCGUUGUCCGGAAUUAUUGGGCGUAAAGGGCGCGUAGGCGGCUUUGCAAGUGACGGGUGAAAUCCCUCGGCUUAACCGAGGAACUGCCUGUCAAACUGCAUGGCUUGAGACCAGGAGAGGUGAGUGGAAUUCCCAGUGUAGCGGUGAAAUGCGUAGAUAUUGGGAGGAACACCAGUGGCGAAGGCGGCUCACUGGACUGGUACUGACGCUGAUGCGCGAAAGCGUGGGGAGCAAACAGG
rnacentral:rRNA from 1 species